AUCUAUCUAUCUAUCUAUCUAUCUAUCUAUCUAUCUCAAAGUCCUUGUCCUUUGUCUUUUUUUUGGUACUACAGUGGUAAUAAUCCACAUUCUUCAUUUGGAGCAACUCUGGUGAGGGAUGAUGAAGAGAAUUGUGGAGCCUACCUCAUGAUGUGUCCCACACAGAGGCGGAUGAGACAAAAUCUUGUACAAUUUGAUAGUCAUUUGUAAUCAGCAAGCCAAAGACUCAGAGCAGGAAACCAUGUGAGCGGGGUCAGCUGCACCCACCAAUCCCGGAGAUAGUUCUGCAGACUCGUCAAGGCAGCGAGGGUCGCAGCUGGAAACCUCUCGGGGCUCGCAACGCCAUCCCUCCCCACCUUCCCUCCCGCCGUCCACCAGCUCCCCAGCCUCGCGAAGAAGCCGCCCCGGGGCCCGCGCAGGUGACAAGUGUCUCGCGACCUGCUUUCUCUUCAGGGAAACCGGGACACUUCCCCCGCCCGCUCCCCAUUUCCGGGUCCCCCACAUCCCGCCUCCUCACUCCAGAGGGAAACAGCAGGAAGCGGCUCCCAGCCCCACCCUGGCGCCAGGCGCAGAGGCCGCCGGGAGAGCGGAGUCCGCCCGCCGAGCCACGCCUCCUCGCGGACGGGCGGGGAAUGCAGAUUAGCGGUGGCGUCCAACGGGAGGGACCCCGGGACCAAGAAGUUCGGGUGGAGUUGGUCCUGAAAACCGCGAAGAAGAAGAAAUGGGCAGCGAAGGCUGAUGAGGUCCGCCUGGGAGUGAAUGAGGAGCGGGAGAGGGCAGAAAGACUAGGGGUCCGUAUUGUGACCGCGCGUUGA
rnacentral:lncRNA from 1 species